AGAAAACAAACAAACACUCACCACAAAAAAUCACUUCAUCUUCACCGUGCCGGAAAGAUCUUCCUCCACUCUCUUCCACCAGAACCCUCGCAUGAUGCCGCCGCCUCAGCCUUCACCGUCCGCAACGGGCUCGUGCAAUCCAUCUCCGUUGAGGUCGAUGAUUUUCAGGACUGGAUGGAAGAAAACUGUUUCUACCAAUGUUUUGUUCAUACCGGCGAGUGCCGGCGAAAAAUCCAGGGCGUCGCUCCUUCGUGCAAGAAUCUGAGAAAUGGCAAGCCUUGUGAAAUCAGAUUUUGCCGUUUAUGCCUUUCAAUCAGAUAUGGGGAGGAAGCACCACAGGUAGUUCUGUUGGAUGACUGGAGUUGCCCAAAGUGCCGGGGCAAAUGCAACUGUAGCACAUGCAGGAUAAACGUAAGAAGCCUAGCAGAGGAUGAGGACCCUUGUCCUGGAUGCUAUUGACGCAGCGUUUGAUGCUAGAGGACUUUGAGUCGGGUGGGUGGGAGUGGUGUCUGUAUUUUGGGGAUUGUGAGCUCGAGUUCCUAUUUGAUUUUCUAGGGCUUUGUACCUUCCUAAAGUCCAUCGUGUGUUGUUGGCUCAGGAAAGGUCAGGGCAUUAGUUUACUUUUGCAUAAUAAAAUUGAUGUACUCAACCUUUUGAGAAAUUAAUGAAUGAGAUGCUUUCAGUCAUUUGUUUAUUGUUUAAUUAUGCUUUGAAAAGGGUUUUAUUUUCAGCAAAAAUUCACACGUAUUUUGGAAAAGGUUACUAAAGUGACGCUCGAAAAAUCGAGGCGUUACAUUGUGGACGAGGGAAGCCAGGGCUGGUGGAUUUAGGUCAGUGAUGGAAUUGCUGGAAGCUAGGGAAGCAGCGGAGUUGAACACGAACCCAAAUGAUUUUGCUGGCUUGCUGCUGUUUUGCCUCCAGAGGAGAUCGUGAUGGAAUUUCUGGAAGCAAGGGAAGCAGCGGAUUUGAACACGAACACAAACGAUGGUACUGCUGUUUUGCCUACAGAGAUUGAUGGUGUUGAGGCGGCCUUGGGUGCAAAUGAUUUGCCCCCCAUUCCUCAUCAAAAGGAUGAAACAAAAUGCGAAAGGGACGAUAAGAUUGUGAUGGAUUUUGAUUUUCCUGAAGCCAUGUCUCAAGAUGAGAUUUUCGCAGAAGUAGAAAGGAACCAGGACACCGAUUAUCUUAUGAAAGGUGGCCCUGAGGUCUGGGGAUGGUACUGCAUUUGAUGAAAGAUGGUCUGUUUAUGGCCCUGAGAAGAAGAAUGAGAUUGAUAAGUAUAUUUCUUCAAGGGCAAAGAUAACUAGACGUCGCAAGGCUCCUUACAAACUUUCAAAUGAAAGCAGUGAAGCAGAUUUGGAGAAUGAUUUUUAGGGAAUAAAGCUUGAGUUGAUUUGUGAUAAGGAGUUGUAACUGAAAAUUAGCUUGCCUAGUUAGUUUCUUGUCAUCAGUUACAUUACAGAUGUACCAGCUCAAUUGUAUUUAAACUCCUCUUAGACAUGCCAAUUGAAUUGAAUGACAUUAAUUUCUUGCA